rnacentral:misc_RNA from 1 species
GUACUCUCACACUCUCUGGUCCUUUGGAUUCGGGGAGCGGUGGACUUGGGUGUUUGCUGCUCUCUUCCUUGCGGCUCACCUCAAAUUCGUUAGUGCACCUCCUGGUUGGACAUAGUACGGCGUGAUAAGUGUCUUCGCCGGCGCCUCGCAAGAGGGUGGCCGAUCGAGAGCUCUGUGCUUUCAAACCAAACCGUCUUCGGACACCAUCUGACA